rnacentral:rRNA from 1 species
GUGGGGAAUCUUCCGCAAUGGACGAAAGUCUGACGGAGCAACGCCGCGUGAGUGAUGAAGGUCUUCGGAUUGUAAAGCUCUGUUAAUCGGGACGAAAGAGCCUAGUGUGAAUAAUGCUAGGAAGUGACGGUACCGGAAUAGAAAGCCACGGCUAACUACGUGCCAGCAGCCGCGGUAAUACGUAGGUGGCAAGCGUUGUCCGGAAUUAUUGGGCGUAAAGCGCGCGCAGGCGGAUCUGCCAGUCUGUCUUAAAAGUUCGGGGCUUAACCCCGUGAUGGGAUGGAAACUACAGAUCUAGAGUAUCGGAGAGGAAAGUGAAAUUCCUAGUGUAGCGGUGAAAUGCGUAGAUAUUAGGAAGAACACCAGUGGCGAAGGCGACUUUCUGGACGAAAACUGACGCUGAGGCGCGAAAGCCAGGGGAGCGAACGGGAUUAGAUACCCCGGUAGUCC